rnacentral:rRNA from 1 species
CAUGCCGUAAACGUUGGGCACUAGGUGUGGGGGACAUUCCACGUUUUCCGCGCCGUAGCUAACGCAUUAAGUGCCCCGCCUGGGGAGUACGGCCGCAAGGCUAAAACUCAAAGAAAUUGACGGGGGCCCGCACAAGCGGCGGAGCAUGCGGAUUAAUUCGAUGCAACGCGAAGAACCUUACCAAGGCUUGACAUGAACCGGAAAGGCGUAGAAAUACGUCCCCCACUUGUGGUCGGUUUACAGGUGG